GGAAUUGGGCUGCCGACUCAAGGACAUAUCAGUGUGCUAUGGGGACGCCAGUGGCUACUUCCUCAGCUUUUCCACGCCUCUUGCCUUCAGAGCUGACCUAGGAUUUGCUGCUUUGAGAUGUGUUACGUAAAAGGAACCACACAGCGUGGGCUGUUCUUCACUUAACAUAAUCUUUUCAAUGCCCAUCCGUGAUGAAGCAUGUUGGGUACUAUCUGCUGAUCGGUUCCACAAUAUACUUACUCACUCACCUCUCAAUACUAGGACUGUUUCUGGGUUGCUUGUUUGGUUUUGCCUGUUAUGUAUACUACUGUGAUGAGGAUUUGGGUACUAGUUCUUUUGUGGACAUAAACUUUCAGUUCUCCAGAAUAUAUGUCUAAGAGUGGAAUUGUAUUAUUUGGGUAACUUUUUGAGGAAUUACCAAAU